rnacentral:ncRNA from 1 species
CACCGCCCGUCGCUACUACCGAUUGAAUGAUUUAGUAAGGUCUUCCGACUGGCUCUCGAAGCGGCAUUCUGGUCGCGUCGGCGUGCCGGAAAGAUGACCAAACUUGAUCAUUUAGAGGAAAUAAAGUCGUAGCAAGGUUUCCGUAGGUGAACCUGCGAAGG